UAACUGCGAGUGAAGCGGGAAAAGCUCAAAUUUAAAAUCUGGCAGUCUUUGGCUGUCCGAGUUGUAAUCUAGAGAAGUAAUGCCCGCGCUGGACCGUGUACAAGUCUCCUGGAAUGGAGCGUCAUAGAGGGUGAGAAUCCCGUCUCUGACACGGACUACCAGGGCUUUGUGGUAUGCUCUCAAAGAGUCGAGUUGUUUGGGAAUGCAGCUCAAAAUGGGUGGUAAAUUCCAUCUAAAGCUAAAUAUUGGCGAGAGACCGAUAGCGAACAAGUACCGUGAGGGAAAGAUGAAAAGAACUUUGGAAAGAGAGUUAAACAGUACGUGAAAUUGCUGAAAGGGAAACGCUUGAAGUCAGUCGCGUUGGCUAGAGAUCAGCCUCACUCUUUGUGUGGUGUACUUUCUGGUUGACGGGUCAGCAUCAAUUUUGAUUGCUGGAAAAAGGCUUGGGGGAAUGUGGCAGCUCCGGCUGUGUUAUAGCCCCUGGUCACAUACAGCAGUUGGGAUUGAGGAACUCAGCACGCCGCAAGGCCGGGUUUCGACCACGUUCGUGCUUAGGAUGCUGGCAUAAUGGCUUUAAGCGACCCGUCUUGAAACACGGACCAAGGAGUCUAACAUGCCUGCGAGUGUUUGGGUGGAAAACCCGAGUGCGUAAUGAAAGUGAAAGUUGAGAUCCCUGUCGCGGGGAGCAUCGACGCCCGGACCAGAACUUUUGGGACGGAUCCGCGGUAGAGCAUGUAUGUUGGGACCCGAAAGAUGGUGAACUAUGCCUGAAUAGGGUGAAGCCAGAGGAAACUCUGGUGGAGGCUCGUAGCGAUUCUGACGUGCAAAUCGAUCGUCAAAUUUGGGUA
rnacentral:rRNA from 1 species